UACGAAGGGGGCGAGCGUUGUUCGGAUUUACUGGGCGUAAAGGGCGCGUAGGCGGCGCGAGAAGUCGAGUGUGAAAGCCCCGGGCUCAACCUGGGAAUUGCGCUCGAUACUCUUGUGCUUGAGUUCGGGAGAGGAGCGUGGAAUUCCCAGUGUAGAGGUGAAAUUCGUAGAUAUCGGGAGGAACACCGGUGGCGAAGGCGGCCCCCUGGUUGGAUACUGACGCUGAGACGCGAAAGCGUGGGGAGCAAACAGG
rnacentral:rRNA from 1 species